rnacentral:rRNA from 1 species
AAGCUUGCUUCUAUGACGUUAGCGGCGGACGGGUGAGUAACACGUGGGCAACCUGCCUGUAAGACUGGGAUAACUUCGGGAAACCGAAGCUAAUACCGGAUAGGAUCUUCUCCUUCAUGGGAGAUGAUUGAAAGAUGGUUUCGGCUAUCACUUACAGAUGGGCCCGCGGUGCAUUAGCUAGUUGGUGAGGUAACGGCUCACCAAGGCAACGAUGCAUAGCCGACCUGAGAGGGUGAUCGGCCACACUGGGACUGAGACACGGCCCAGACUCCUACGGGAGGCAGCAGUAGGGAAUCUUCCGCAAUGGACGAAAGUCUGACGGAGCAUCGCCGCGUGAGUGAUGAAGGCUUUCGGGUCGUAAAACUCUGUUGUUAGGGAAGAACAAGUACAAGAGUAACUGCUUGUACCUUGACGGUACCUAACCAGAAAGCCACGGCUAACUACGUGCCAGCAUCCGCGGUAAUACGUAGGUGGCAAGCGUUAUCCGGAAUUAUUGCGUAAAGCGUGCGCAGGUGUUUCUUAUGUCUGAUGUGAAAGCCCACGGCUCAACCGUGGAGGGUCUUUGGAAACUG